rnacentral:rRNA from 1 species
UACGAAGGGUGCAAACGUUGCUCGGAAUUACUGGGCGUAAAGCGUGCGCAGGCGGUGAUGUAAUACAGAUGUGAAAUCCCCGGGCUCAACCUGGGAACUGCAUUUGUGACUGCAUCGCUAGAGUACGGCAGAGGGGGAUGGAAUUCCGCGUGUAGCAGUGAAAUGCGUAGAUAUGCGGAGGAACACCGAUGGCGAAGGCAAUCCCCUGGGCCUGUACUGACGCUCAUGCACGAAAGCGUGGGGAGCAAACAGG